rnacentral:rRNA from 1 species
CUAACACAUGCAAGUCGAGCGGCAGCGGAAAGUAGCUUGCUACUUUGCCGGCGAGCGGCGGACGGGUGAGUAAUGUCUGGGAAACUGCCUGAUGGAGGGGGAUAACUACUGGAAACGGUAGCUAAUACCGCAUAAUGUCGCAAGACCAAAGAGGGGGACCUUCGGGCCUCUUGCCAUCAGAUGUGCCCAGAUGGGAUUAGCUAGUAGGUGGGGUAACGGCUCACCUAGGCGACGAUCCCUAGCUGGUCUGAGAGGAUGACCAGCCACACUGGAACUGAGACACGGUCCAGACUCCUACGGGAGGCAGCAGUGGGGAAUAUUGCACAAUGGGCGCAAGCCUGAUGCAGCCAUG